GGGAAAUGGGAAGAGGGGCCAGCCUCAGGCCCCACAACAAAGUAGGGCG
rfam:Nomascus leucogenys chromosome 17, whole genome shotgun sequence.